rnacentral:lncRNA from 1 species
UAUGCCUUGCAGAGUAAUUUUACCUAGAUUCAGUAUUUACUUUCUAUUAGGCCUAAUACUGGGUUUGCAUAAAACUACAGAUCCUUGAGCAAGCAUUAUUUUGGUCAAUGUGCUAAAAAACUGAUAUUUAUUUCACUGUAUUUUUGGUGUAUAUAUAUACAUAUAUAUAUUUUUUUAAGUUGUGGGAUACGUGUGCAAAAUGUGCAGGUUUGUUACAUAGGUAUACAUGUGCCAUGGUGGUUUGCUGCACCCA